UACGGAGGGUGCAAGCGUUAUCCGGAUUCACUGGGUUUAAAGGGUGCGUAGGCGGGCAGGUAAGUCAGUGGUGAAAUCUCUGGGCUUAACCCGGAAACUGCCGUUGAUACUAUCUGUCUUGAAUGUAGUGGAGGUGAGCGGAAUAUGUCAUGUAGCGGUGAAAUGCUUAGAUAUGACAUAGAACAUCGAUUGCGAAGGCAGCUCGCUACACUAUGAUUGACACUGAGGCACGAAAGCGUGGGGAUCAAACAGG
rnacentral:rRNA from 1 species